rfam:Rattus norvegicus chromosome 6, whole genome shotgun sequence.
GGGGAUUUGGCUCAGUGGUAGAGCACUUGCCUAGGAAGCGCAAGGUCCUGGGUUCGAUCCCCAGCCCCG